rnacentral:lncRNA from 1 species
AGCAUAUAUUUAUGGGGUACAUGAGAUGCUUUUAUCCAGGCAUGCAAUGUGUUCUAAUCACAUGAAAAAUGGGGAACCCGUCCCCUCAAGUAUCCAUCCUUUGUGUUACAAACAAUCCAGUUACACUCUUUUUAGUUAUUUAAAAAUGUACACUUGAAUUAUUCUUGACUAUAGCCACCCUGCUGUGCCAGCAAACACUACAUCUUAUUCAACGCUAACAAUCUGGGCUGUCAAAAGGAGAAGGGUUGCUGUAGCGGAGGGGCUUAGAGGUGAGCAUUUGUUUGUCUCACCCUUCCCCCUGCAGAGCGGUGCCUGUUCUUACAGCCAUUUGUAAAUGCUGGCCUUGAGCCACACCAAGCAUCCAGGUAGAGCUGGGAGCUUCACCCAUAGGCUGGGAGCACCGUGAGGGGGACCUGCAGUCCAGGACGGCCACGGUGGUGCAGGGAGGCCCCGCACUGCGGGAGGAGCUGGUCAUGACCCAGGGCCAGCACCAGAGUGGCUGCCCAGGGCGCCAGGCACCCAUAGGACUGGGAAAGCCAGGAGAGGCCAGAGAGGGGAAGGGAAUUGGCAACUUCUAAAAGAAAUGCGAGAAAGAGCCUGGGAAGUACCAGAAGGAAGAAAGUCGUCCCUGGGGCUUGAGGCAUAGAGAGAACUAUGUCUCGAGUAAACCAAAGGUGUUUCCAUGGUACCUGGAAUUUUUUUUUAAGUCAGGGAUGAUGGGACUCACAGACACAGAAAGAUUGUCAUGAAGAAAGAAGUUUAUCCUUGCAGAUCCCUGGACAGAGGAGUCACGCCUGGCCACACAGAGACGCACAGCCAACCAGGUGGGCAAGGGAGCGAGGGGAGCGUGGGCCAGAGAAGGCUCAGAUCAGCUAACCUGAAUCAUUGAAUCAUUUUAGCAGGCUCAGGGGCGAGGGGCUGUCCCUUCCUGUCUGGUCCCUCGCCUGGCGUGAUUUGGGCAGGUGCAUGGUGGCCCGGAGUGUGAGGGCCACAGAGAAGGUGGUUGGAGCAUGGACUCCAGGUGGUUGGUUUGAUUUGGAAAGCACAGCCCUGGGUUCUAAGAACCAGCUCAUUCUGGCAAGGGCAGUACCUCCAGGGUCAGCAAGACCCCGGAUGUCCAAGCACCAGAAUUCAGAAAAUAAAAGAAUUCAUUAAUACAAAAGACAACAUGCAGCCAUUGCUCAGAAGCACUGCCUGGGGCCCAGGCUGCCGGCCUCUUGUUGCCCAGGUCUCUGUGCCCAGUGUUCAGCAGCAGACACUUGUGGAAUUGGCUUUUGAGAAGCAAGGGGCUGGGCUUUGAAGAAUGAAUGCCAAAGGUUGAAUCCCAAGGCAAGACAUACUGCCGCUGGACAGGAGGAGAUGCCUGCAUCUGCUCAGAAGUUCACACCUAAGGAGGGUUUCAAGCGUUCCAAGAUAACAAAAAGUGCUCCCCAAAAUAAGACUUACCAUAAAUAACAGAUGAACAAAAUAAUCAGUCAAAAAGUCUGUCCCAUGUCCAACAGUAGUCCAGAUGCUGGGGUAGGGGAUCCAAAAGAAGGGGGAGGAUGUCACUGACUGCCACCUCCAUUCAGCUGCCCAGGUUAGAGCCCUCAGGCCUGAGAGACAGCGUUCCCACUGUCAGCAGCGAGCCCAGCGCAGGAUCUGGACAUGGAGUCUGGUGUUUCUCCAGCCGGGCAGCCCAAGCAUAGCCUCUCCCUGGAGCAGGAAGGAGAAGCUCCUUCUGUACCUUUACCAGGAGCACAGCCACACUGUUCUGAAAGCAAACUCAUGCUGGACGCCUGCAGGUUCCAGAAGGUGACCACAUUGACCCAAUGCUCUGCCUUUGUUAUGCUGAGGACACUCCCACCCAGUGACCAUGACAGAAGUCACAGCACAAGACAUCCUCAUGACUCAACCAAGGGACCAAGGUGCUUCCCUGUGUUUCCCAAACAGCAUAAAACCUCAGUGAGGCCCCUUCCUCAAUAACAGCUUGAGUCCCCAGACUUCUAGAACACUACUGUACUAACAAGAAUAUUUCUUAUUAUCAACAGGACUAACUUAUUUUAGCUCUCCAUAAUCUGAUUUAAAAUAUACUUUUUCCCGUUUUUUCUGAGGAAUGAAUCGAUUCUAUUUUACUGUCUUUCCUCUGACUUCUGAAAGGCUAGGAGCCAAAAUAGAAUGUUCAAUAUCAUAUUUCCAG